rnacentral:rRNA from 1 species
AAGGAUGGUCGUCGUUGGGGCCUAGGUGUGGGGGGCAUUCCACGUUCUCCGCGCCGUAGCUAACGCAUUAAGUGCCCCGCCUGGGGAGUACGGUCGCAAGGCUAAAACUCAAAGGAAUUGACGGGGGCCCGCACAAGCGGCGGAGCAUGCGGAUUAAUUCGAUGCAACGCGAAGAACCUUACCAAGGCUUGACAUACACCGGACCGUCCUGGAAACAGGUCUUCUUCUUUGAAGCUGGUGUACAGGUGGUGCAUGGUUGUCGUCAGCUCGUGUCGUGAGAUGUUGGGUUAAGUCCCGCAACGAGCGCAACCCUCGUUCUAUGUUGCCAGCACGUGAUGGUGGGAACUCAUAGGAGACUGCCGGGGUCAACUCGGAGGAAGGUGGGGAUGACGUCAAAUCAUCAUGCCCUUUAUGUCUUGGGCUUCACGCAUGCUACAAUGGCUGGUACAGAGAGAGGCGAACCCGUGAGGGCAAGCGAAUCCCUUAAAGCCAGUCUCAGUUCGGAUCGUAGUCUGCAAUUCGACUACGUGAAGUCGGAGUCGCUAGUAAUCGCAGAUCAGCAACGCUGCGGUGAAUACGUUCCCGGGCCUUGUACACACCGCCCGUCAAGUCACGAAAGUCGGUAACACCCGAAGCCGGUGGCCUAACCCCUUGUGGGAGGGGGCCGUCUAAGGUGGGACUGGUGAUUGGGACUAAGUCGUAACAAGGUAGCCGUACCGGAAGGUGCGGAUGGAUCACCUCAUUAAAAGGGGGGGGGAUGAAGAGGGAGAGUAUUUUGUAUAUUUUAAUUAUUUUUUAUUUUA